GAAACUACUGUGUGUGGCGAUAGAUAUUUUCAGUGUACAAACGGAGAGUGCAUUCAUUCAAGCAGGGUUUGCGAUUUUAAGCAGGAUUGUGAGGAUAAUUCGGAUGAAUUUUGCGAUUUUACAAGUUGUUCACCUGAUCAGGAAUUUGAAUGCGCAAAUUCACAGUGUAUACCGCAUUAUCAAGUAUGCGAUGCUAUACAACAUUGUUUAGAUAGUAGCGAUGAAAAUAACUGUGAAACGUGCAACUCAUCAAUAGCCUUCACUUGCCGAGACAAACGUUGUAUUCCUCUCGAGCUAACCUGCGACAUGUAUGCUGACUGCACAUUAGGCGAAGACGAGGAGUCCUGUGAGAAAAUGAACUAUCGUACGUGUGACGACGUACUUCUGGGGGGCAUCAGA